rnacentral:tRNA from 1 species
GCCGGGGUGCCCGAGUGGUCUAAGGGGCCGGGCUCGAGACCCGGUGUCCCCUCGGGGGGCGCGUGGGUUCGAAUCCCACCCCCGGCG